rnacentral:rRNA from 1 species
AUUGAACGCUGGCGGCAGGCUUAACACAUGCAAGUCGAGCGGGGGAAGGUAGCUUGCUACCGGACCUAGCGGCGGACGGGUGAGUAAUGCUUAGGAAUCCGCCUAUUAGUGGGGGACAACAUCUCGAAAGGGAUGCUGAUACCGCAUACGUCCUACGGGAGAAAGCAGGGGAUCUUUGGACCUUGCGCUAAUAGAUGAGCCUAAGUCGGAUUAGCUAGUUGGUGGGGUAAAGGCCUACCAAGGCGACGAUCUGUAGCGGGUCUGAGAGGAUGAUCCGCCACACUGGGACUGGGACACGGCCCCGGCCCCUACGGGAGGCAGCAGGGGGGAAUAUUGGACAAUGGGGGGAACCCUGAUCCAGCCAUGCCGCGUGUGUGAAGAAGGCCUUAUGGUUGUAAAGCACUUUAAGCGAGGAGGAGGCUACUUUAGUUAAUACCUAGAGAUAGUGGACGUUACUCGCAGAAUAAGCACCGGCUAACUCUGUGCCAGCAGCCGCCGUAA